rnacentral:lncRNA from 1 species
UAUAUUUAUUUAUUUAUUUUUUUUUUUGAGAAAUAGGUAGCACGCUACCCGCUUCGUUUAUUUCAUUUAGAAAUAAACUUUAGCUAGAAAUAUGAAUCAACUAGAAUUCGAACUUGGGUCUCGGGUACCAACCAUCAAGUCUUUUGCCACUUGCUCUAAGGACGGUUGGUUUUGCCAUAUAUUUAUUAAAGAUGCAAAAUUGGAGUACUGCUGUAGCUAGCCGCUCUCAAUUAUCUCUAAAAAAAAAAAUCCUUUGAUGUGAUGAUGUGCAUUUACACGCAUUUGUUUCAAUUCUUUUCUUUAUUAUUAUUAUCAAUAGUAGAUACAUUAAAACUUGACUUUUACUGUACAUGACGUGUCGCUUUCUCAGCGCCGUCUCUGCCAUUCUCUCUCGUUACAUUAAAAGGAGGGUUUGGAGGGGACCUUAAAGUGAUGGAUGCUCUCCCCACACUCCAUUUCUCUCUCUCCCCUUCUAUAUAUAUAUAAUAUAAUAUAAUAUAUCAUAAUAAAUAUAUACAUUUAAAUUUUAAAUUUUGAAUUUUAAAUUUUAUAAUUUGAAAUUGGAAGUUUCAAAUUCUAGAUUUCUAUUUUCAAAUUUCAAAUUUCAAAUUUUAAAUUUUAAACUUUAAAAUUUUAUAAUAUUUAUUUCAUAUUUUUAAAUUUCAAAAACUUAAAUUUUUUAAUCCUUAAACCCCAAAACCCAAAACCCUAAACCCUAUAAAAUUAAUUAACUAAUUAUAUAUAUAAUAUGGCUGGGGCUACUAUACUCUUAUGAUCAUAAACCUCUUUAUACUCAUAAGUUUUCGGCCAUUGGAUAAAGGGGUGUGCAGUUAGGGUGAUAGUGGUUCACAGUUAGAAUAAUAGUGAUCCCCUAGGGUUGAGUGGGUGGUUAGUUGAAUAGGAUGAUUUAACGGAUGAAAAUGGUCAAAGGGGUAGAUCUAACGGCCGAAAAUUUAUGAGUACAAAGAGACCUAUACUCAUAAAAGUAUAAUAGCCGGACUCAUAUAAUAUAGUUAAUUAAUUUUAUCAAUAAUAUAUAUAAUAAAUUGCAUAAUAAAAUCUAAUCUGAUAGAUAAAAUCUAAAUCACGUAAAAUGUUGAUGUAUAAAAUAAAUAUACAUAAUUUAAAUUUCUAAAAUAGGAUUUAAGAAAUAUAGUGUGUGUGUAUGAUUAAUUAAUUUUAUUAAUCAAUUUCUUCUACUAUUUUAUUUCUCUUUUAUUUAUUAAUUUAUUUAAAUUAUUUUAAUAGAUUUAUCUCAAAUCAUUUUCACAUAAAACUUUAUAAAAUAAUUUAAUUACUAAUAAGCUGUUAUAUAAAUUUGCGUACGUUGCACAUAUACCAAUUUUAAUCAUUUUUAUUUAAAUAGAUAUAACUAUUAAAAUAUUUUUAUAUAACAUUUAUUUAAUUAAUAAUUAGACUUAUAAAAAAUAUAAAAAAUAAAAAUAAUAAAUUAAAAUUUAUUAUUAAAAAAAUAUUUUAUAUCCGUUGCAUCGUGUGGGUUUUCACAAGUUUAUAUAUAUAUAUAGAGAGAGAGAGAGAGAGAGAGAGAGUUGAGUUUGUGUGCUUUUAAAAGCGCAAGAGCAUUUGUGCUUGCAACUUUUUAGUCGUCGAAUUACUUUAAAAUUCGUAUAGCAUUAUUAACACUUUGUCCAUUAAAUUUUAUUUAUUAGUUCAGCAUGGAUCUUGAGGCGAUUUGAUAGCUAAAAAGACACAAGCACGUUGAGCUUCUGUAUUUUUUUUUUUUUUUUGAGAGAUAAGUAGCACACUACCCGCUUCAUUUAUUUCAUUUAGAAAUAAACUUAGCUAGAAAUAUGAAUUAACUAGGAUUCUCAACGAUAUAUAUAUUUACAAACAAUACAUACAAAUUGAUUUGUACAAUAUAAACAACGUAUCAGCUAGUGAUUACAAGGGACCACAUAAUGGUACAUACAGGAUCGUGUAAAGGGUAAUCAAAAUACGUCUUUCAAUUGUUUUAUGUAUGUUAUGCUUUCAAAAUUGUAUUCACCAAAUUUAUGUUACUGGGAGUUGGGACUAAUGAUUUUGCAAGCAUAGUCCACUUCUAUUUGUUGUGCAGAAAGUUUCAAAAUCGAACCAUGCAAAAUUUGCCGGGUAUUGCAAUUUACCAUU